UACGUAGGGUGCGAGCGUUAAUCGGAAUUACUGGGCGUAAAGCGUGCGCAGGCGGUUGUGCAAGACAGAUGUGAAAUCCCCGGGCUUAACCUGGGAACUGCGCUUGUAACUGGCAAGCUAGAGUGUGGCAGAGGGGGGUGGAAUUCCACGUGUAGCAGUGAAAUGCGUAGGAGACUGUGGAGGAACACCGAUGGCGAAGGCAGCCCC
rnacentral:rRNA from 1 species